AGAGUUUGAUCCUGGCUCAGAACGAACGCUGGCGGCAUGCCUAACACAUGCAAGUCGAACGAGGUUUCCACUUCGGUGGUUUCCUAGUGGCGCACGGGUGAGUAACGCGUGGGAACCUGCCCUGUGGUACGGAAUAACUCCGGGAAACUGGAGCUAAUACCGUAUGUGUCCUGUGGGACAAAGAUUUAUCGCCAUGGGAUGGGCCCGCGUAGGAUUAGCUUGUUGGUGGGGUAACGGCCUACCAAGGCAACGAUCCUUAGCUGGUCUGAGAGGGAUGAUCAGCCACACUGGGACUGAGACACGGCCCAGACUCCUACGGGAGGCAGCAGUGGGGAAUAUUGGACAAUGGGCGCAAGCCUGAUCCAGCAAUGCCGCGUGAGUGAUGAAGGCCUUCGGGUUGUAAAGCUCUUUCGCACGCGACGAUGAUGACGGUAGCGUGAGAAGAAGCCCCGGCUAACUUCGUGCCAGCAGCCGCGGUAAUACGAAGGGGGCUAGCGUUGUUCGGAAUUACUGGGCGUAAAGGGCGCGUAGGCGGUACUUCAAGUCAGGCGUGAAAGCCCCGGGCUCAACCUGGGAACCGCGCUUGAGACUGGAGAACUAGAGUUCGGGAGAGGAUGGUGGAAUUCCCAGUGUAGAGGUGAAAUUCGUAGAUAUUGGGAAGAACACCGAUGGCGAAGGCAGCCAUCUGGACCGACACUGCGCUGAGGCGCGAAAGCGUGGGGAGCAAACAGGAUUAGAUACCCUAGUAGUCC
rnacentral:rRNA from 1 species